CGCAUGUACCUGUCCUGGGAGGACCCAGCCUGCAGUCCCACUGAAUUUUAGCUCAGUGGGUCUGAGGUAUGGGAAAUCCCCGAACAGGCAGC
rnacentral:miRNA from 1 species